UCACGUGCGAUGUCUCUUAGCUGAUAAGGGCCCUUAGGCCAACAAGGCUCUUUGGGAGUGAUACCCUUAGCAUAGGUGAUAGGAGAAGCGACGUCAUCCACAAGGCAGUGAGGCAGAGUUAUCUCUUCCACAUAGCUAAGGGAUGGCACAAUGUCCAAGGUGGAGCACAAAGCGGAGCAAUGGUCACCACAAAGCCAGUGGGAGGAGCAAAGUCCCAGGCAGAGCCAGAGGUGGGGAGUGACAUUGUCUGCAAAGCAAAGGGGGGACCGACAUACACCAAGAAGCAUGAGGAAGGAGUAAUGUCCUCAGUGGAGUGAUGUCCAAAGUGGAGCCGGGUGGCGUAGCAACAUCUAAGGUGGAGCAGGAAGACAGAGUCACGCCCAUGGCAAGGCCAUGAUCUGUAAUGGCAUCCUCUGUGGGGCAGAGGGGUGGAGGGACCCUACUCUUUCCCUUUUGCUCCAUAUCAUGUGGUUCUUCUCCAGGAGGGCUUCUUGGAUGCUGAAAAACUCUGCAGCAUUAAUGGUAAGUCAAGAGUUCUGUCACAACUGGGAGGUAAAGGCAGAUGCAAAUGCAGACAUUUUAUUAAGUAAAGUGCAAACAAAAUCAAAGACCUGAAAACAAGAAUCAUAAUGGCUGAUGGGUGGUGUAGUUCUGUGCCCCUUUGGUCCUACCAUGACAAUAUACAUACUGCCAAAAUAUAGCAUAAGGGCUAAUUUUUCUAUUUAUUUAUUUAUUUAUUUUUUCAAUUUGCUAAGUGAUGUUUGAUGUAUUACUGCUUGAUAUUACAGUCUCCUAUCCAAAUGUGAACAGACAUAAAAAGCCCACAUACAUUUUACAUUUCUUUUUAGGAACUAUGUUCAGUUUCCAUUGAAGUUAUUUUGGUUAGAUUAUUAAAUUUAUUUAUUCUUUAUUGCUUUUACACAGCACAUACUCAGCAUGACAAAAAUAUCUUAAUAUCUUGCUCAUACUUUAAUUUCUUUUGCACAUCAAAACCAUGCAUUGCAGCUCCUUUCAGUGUCAGCACAGGCAGAUGCUUAAUGGCUUGGGUAUUGUAUUACAGAUAUCCCACCUAAUAUACCCUACCAACACAUCUCACAGCUCAAGUUACGGUUGCUUACUUGCCUGCAGAUGGAAUUUUGUUGAAAGGCUGGGAUCGUGGGGGGUGGGGGUGUUUUAUUUUUUCCUUACAAGUAGCUGUUGAUUAGUCAUUCAUUAUAUAAACACUUAAAUGUUGUUGCAGUUUUUAUAUAAAAAUACAUUUUCUAUUAGCAAAUUUCCCAGAUUUAAGAUACAGAGCUGCUUAUUCACAAAUGUGACCAUAAAUUAAUAAAAAAUAUAUUGUACAUAUACUUAUGUAAUAAAUAAAAUGCAAAUAUCUUGCAUC